rnacentral:lncRNA from 10 species
UGCCUCAGCCUCCCGAGUAGCUGGGACUACAGGCGACCGCCAUGACGCCCGGCUAAAUUUUUGUGUUUUUAGUAGAGACGGGGUUUCACCGUGUUAGCCAGGAUGGUCUCGAUUUCCUGACCUCGGGAUCCACCCGCCUCGGCCUCCCAAAGUGCUGGGAUUACAGGUGUGAGCCACCGCGCCCGGCAGAUAUAUCUUAUUUUUAAAAUCCACAUUAUUGAGUAAAAUCUCACAGUGGAAGGCAUGAGAUCCUGGCUUUGCCAGGCAAAAUUGGACCUGGAAGUAAGCCAAGUGAGGCUGCAGCAGCGGAGGGUCAACCUUCUGCACAGAGCAGCAGUGGAAGUGGUCAUCUUUGGAGGAAAACAUGGAGGCUGCUGUGUCCAGUUCUGAAUCUGUGAUGGUGGUGUAACAUGGCUAGUACUUCGAAAACUUUGAAGAGCCCUUAGUGAUGCUGUUUGCAGCCCUUCAGUCCUAUUCAACACCUCCAAAGGAAAUGGGAGAUGAAAAAGACAUGGCUUUCUAACAAGGAGAAGACUGAGCUCCAAACAAGUCAUAAUCCUAGAGACAGGUACCUGGGCAAGGUCAUUAUGUGAAAUGAUGAAAUGCAUCGUCAUAAAAAAGUGCAAGAACUUGAACCUGAGAAGAAAAAUAUAAAAGGAAAAAUAUUCUAGAGUCAGAUGUGGAAAUCACCAUGUCAGAUUAUGAAGCUGGAAUUUAUUCUUUGAAAAAUAGAAGAAAACAAGAUAAAAUUAUGAAGGAUGCAUUGCUGCUGCUUUAACAAUACUCAGAGAUGUUAUCACCAAAAACCAUCACCAACUGUCACAUUAGGCAGUCCCUACAAGGAGAGCAUUGCCUUCUGGCGUAUUGUGACAAGCUUAUCUGCAUGCAUGCACAAGUUCAUAUAGGACUGACAUUUUUGAAAGAACACCACAGCUUGAGAAAUAGAAAGAAGCUUUAGAUCAUCCAAUCCAGCUACCAUGUGAAGACGUGUUUGCUUCCCCUUCUGCCAUGAUUGUAAGUUUCCUGAGGCCUCCCCAGAACUGCAGAACUGUGAGUCAAUUAAACCUCUUUAAUUUAUAAAUUAUCCAGUCUUGGAUAUGUCUUUAUUAGCAAUGUGAGAAUGGACUAAUAUGCUUGUUUCAAUAGUUUCAUUGUAAUUAACUGCAUUAGG